ANUAGGAUUGAAAUAAAGCCUAAAUUUUUAUAAAAAAUCAGCAGUGAGGAAUAUUUUACAAUAAGUGUAAGCUUGAUAAAGUAAUAUUUCUUUUAGGAAGACAGUAUUAUUAAAAUAUUGUAAACUUUUUAUUUUAUUUUUAAAUAUUGAUAAAAAUAAAAAAUAGUAUUUGCUAAUUUCUGUGCCAGCAGCAGCGGUAAUACAGAAAAUGCAAGCGUUAUUCAUUUUAUUAGGCGUAAAGCGUUUUAAGGUUUUAUAUUAAUUUUAUGUUUAAAUAUUUAAAUUAAAUUUAAAAUAAAUUAAUAAAUAAUAAUAUAAUAGAGUAUUAUAAAAGUAUUAAGAAUUUUUUGAGAAGUAGUGAAAUACAAUGAUACAAAAAAGAAUAUCAAAGGCGAAAGCAUAAUACUAUAUAAUUACUGACACUUAAAAACGAAAGCUAAGGUAGCAAAUAGGAUUAGAUACCCUAGUAGUCUUAGCUGUAAACUAUGAAUAUUUUAUAUUUAUAUUUUAUAAAUAUAAUAACUAACGUGAUAAAUAUUCCGCCUGAGUAGUAUAUUCGCAAGAAUGAAAUUCAAAGGAAUUGACGGGAGCUUAUACAAGUGGUGGAACAUGUGGCUUAAUUCGAUGCAACACGAUAAACCUUACCAAAAUUUAACAAUAUUUUUAAUAUUAAGAAAUUAAUAUUUUAAUAAAAUAUAUAGGUAGUGCAUGGCUGUCGUCAGUUCGUGCUGUGAAGUGUUAAUUUUAGUAUUAUAACGAACGUAACCUUUUAUAAAAAAAAUUUUUAUAAUAAAUAAUAAUAAAGAUUACGUCAAGUCAUUAUGCUCCUUAUAUUUUGGGCUGCUCACGUGUUACAUAAAAUAUUACAAUAUUUUAUUAUAUGUUAAAUAUAAUAAUUAAAAUAUAUUUAUAGUUCAGAUUAUAAAUUGAAACUCAUUUAUAUAAAGAUGGAAUCACUAGUAAUCGCUAAUCAGAAUUAUAGCGGUGAAUAAGUUCUUAAGCUUUGUACACACCGCCCGUCACAUCUAAAAAGUAUCAUAUUAUAUAAAAAUUAUUGUUAAAUAAUAAUAUAUAAUUAUAUAAUUUAGAUGAAGUCGUAACAAGGUAGCCGUACUGGAAGGUGCGGCUG
rnacentral:rRNA from 1 species